AUACGGAGGAUCCGAGCGUUAUCCGGAUUUAUUGGGUUUAAAGGGCGCGUAGGCGGACGCUUAAGUCAGUUGUGAAAGUUUGCGGCUCAACCGUAAAAUUGCAGUUGAUACUGGGUGUCUUGAGUACAGUAGAGGCAGGCGGGAGUCGUGGGGGAGUGGUGGAAUGCUUAGAUAUCACGAAGAACUCCGAUUGCGAAGGCAGCCUGCUGGACUGUAACUGACGCUGAUGCUCGAAAGUGUGGGUAUCAAACAGGAUUAGAUACCCUGGUAGUCCACACAGUAAACGAUGAAUACUCGCUGUUUGCGAUAUACAGUAGGCGGCCAAGCGAAAGCGUUAAGUAUUCCACCUGGGGAGUACGCCGGCAACGGUGAAACUCAAAGGAAUUGACGGGG
rnacentral:rRNA from 1 species